UAGGCGGAUCGAUAAGUCAGUGGUGAAAACCUGCAGCUUAACUGUAGACUUGCCGUUGAUACUGUUGGUCUUGAGUAUGGUCAAGGUAGGCGGAAUGUGUAAUGUAGCGGUGAAAUGCUUAGAUAUUACACAGAACACCGAUUGCGAAGGCAGCUUACUGGACCAUCACUGACGCUGAUGCACGAAAGCGUGGGGAUCGAACAGGAUUAGAUACCCUGGUAGUCCACGCCGUAAACGAUGAUCACUCGCUGUUAGCGAUACACAGUUAGCGGCUAAGCAAAAGCAUUAAGUGAUCCACCUGGGGAGUACGGCCGCAAGGCUGAAACUCAAAGGAAUUGACGGGGGCCCGCACAAGCGGAGGAACAUGUGGUUUAAUUCGAUGAUACGCGAGGAACCUUACCUGGGCUUAAAUGUAGAGUGCAUUCUGCCGAAAGGCGGAUUUUCUUCGGAACUCUUUGCAAGGUGCUGCAUGGUUGUCGUCAGCUCGUGCCGUGAGGUGUCGGGUUAAGUCCCAUAACGAGCGCAACCCUUAUCGUUAGUUGCCAGCGGGUAAAGCCGGGAACUCUAGCGAAACUGCCGGUGUAAACCGAGAGGAAGGUGGGGAUGACGUCAAAUCAGCACGGCCCUUAUGUCCAGGGCUACACACGUGUUACAAUGGCCGGUACAGAGGGGAGCUAUGCUGUGAGGCAAUGCGAAUCUCAAAAGCCGGUCUCAGUUCGGAUCGGAGUCUGCAACUCGACUCCGUGAAGCUGGAUUCGCUAGUAAUCGCGCAUCAGCCAUGGCGCGGUGAAUACGUUCCCGGGCCUUGUACACACCGCCCGU
rnacentral:rRNA from 1 species